GAGGAGACUGGUGCAGAACAGCAGAGAGAAGAAAUGGAGGAAGAAGAAAAAGAAGGGAACGAUGCAGAAGCGUGAUGAGAUCUGUAGACCAAAGAUGUCAGUGAACCAAGUGGAAAAGAAGAUAAAGCGUUGUGCAGCACCAGGACAGUGGUGUACCAGCUUAACACCUUUUCUGCUACAUGGGACUGCAGACUUCAUACACAGGGACACUGACGAGGGGAUCAGGUGAGGUGAGUGAGCACUGAGGAGGGAAAAGGACAGGUGAGCUAAUGAAGGGGGAAGAACACAUGGGGGAAACUGAAAAGAAAACGUUAAGACAUACCUUUACUAUUACCAUGGACUUAAAGUUAUUUGUAUGUGUAUUUAUGACUAUUAGACAUGUAUGAACUGGGUGAAACAGCUUUAACAGGCUGCGCCCACUCCCAUGGACGGAAAUCAGUUUCUGACUGACAAUCACUUUUUUUGCACCACAUCAAAGCAGGUUUCUGUGCAGCUCAGCAGCAGUGGGCAGGCGGACUGGCAAUGACUGGGAUUGUGUAACUGCUUAAGUUAAUACUGUCUUAAAGUGACCCUUGAUUCACUGCAUGGCCACAGAGAACAGCCUGGUGGAAAAGCAAACAUGCAACGCCCACAGAAUGACUUACUGCAUGCAGCAUUUAACACUCCGGGACGAGCGCUUCCUCCGAUCCUUCAUCCCCACAGCAAUCACACUGUUUGACUCAAGCACUGCCUGAACAAUCACUUUCCACUCACUUUAUUUUUAUUUUUUGGAAAUAUCCUAUUUAUUUUCUAUUUAACUUCAUGCAUUUUUGAUUCUUUUUCCUUGUACUUGUUACAACACUCGAGACGCAAUAAGUGAAUUUCCCCGUUGUGGGACAAAUAAAGCCAGUCUAAUCUGA